GACGAACGCUGGCGGCGUGCUUAACACAUGCAAGUCGAACGGUAAGGCCCUUCGGGGUACACGAGUGGCGAACGGGUGAGUAACACGUGGGUGAUCUGCCCUGCACUUCGGGAUAAGCCUGGGAAACUGGGUCUAAUACCGGAUAGGACCACUGCCUGCAUGGGUGUGUGGUGGAAAGCUUUUGCGGUGUGGGAUGGGCCCGCGGCCUAUCAGCUUGUUGGUGGGGUAAUGGCCUACCAAGGCGACGACGGGUAGCCGGCCUGAGAGGGUGACCGGCCACACUGGGACUGAGAUACGGCCCAGACUCCUACGGGAGGCAGCAGUGGGGAGUAUUGCACAAUGGGCGCAAGCCUGAUGCAGCGACGCCGCGUGAGGGAUGACGGCCUUCGGGUUGUAAACCUCUUUCAGCUAUGACGAAGCGCAAGUGACGGUAGUAGCAGAAGAAGGACCAGCCAACUACGUGCCAGCCGCCGCCGUAA
rnacentral:rRNA from 1 species